UACGAAGGGGGCUAGCGUUGCUCGGAAUCACUGGGCGUAAAGGGUGCGUAGGCGGGUUUUUAAGUCAGGGGUGAAAUCCUGGAGCUCAACUCCAGAACUGCCUUUGAUACUGAAGAUCUUGAGUUCGGGAGAGGUGAGUGGAACUGCGAGUGUAGAGGUGAAAUUCGUAGAUAUUCGCAAGAACACCAGUGGCGAAGGCGGCUCACUGGCCCGAUACUGACGCUGAGGCGCGAAAGCCAGGGGAGCAAACGGG
rnacentral:rRNA from 1 species